GCACUUUAUACUGUGAAACUGCGAAUGGCUCAUUAAAUCAGUUAUCGUUUAUUUGAUAGUACCUUACUACAUGGAUACCUGUGGUAAUUCUAGAGCUAAUACAUGCUGAAAACCUCGACUUCGGAAGGGGUGUAUUUAUUAGAUAAAAAACCAAUGCCCUUCGGGGCUCCUUGGUGAAUCAUAAUAACUUAACGAAUCGCAUGGCCUUGCGCCGGCGAUGGUUCAUUCAAAUUUCUGCCCUAUCAACUUUCGAUGGUAGGAUAGUGGCCUACCAUGGUGGCAACGGGUAACGGGGAAUUAGGGUUCGAUUCCGGAGAGGGAGCCUGAGAAACGGCUACCACAUCCAAGGAAGGCAGCAGGCGCGCAAAUUACCCAAUCCCGACACGGGGAGGUAGUGACAAUAAAUACUGAUACGGGGCUCUUUUGGGUCUCGUAAUUGGAAUGAGUACAAUCUAAAUCCCUUAACGAGGAACAAUUGGAGGGCAAGUCUGGUGCCAGCAGCCGCGGUAAUUCCAGCUCCAAUAGCGUAUAUUAAAGUUGUUGCAGUUAAAAAGCUCGUAGUUGAACCUUGGGUCUGGCUGGCCGGUCCGCCUCACCGCGAGUACUGGUCCGGCUGGACCUUUCCUUCUGGGGAAUCUCAUGGCCUUCACUGGCUGUGGGGGGAACCAGGACUUUUACUGUGAAAAAAUUAGAGUGUUCAAAGCAGGCCUUUGCUCGAAUACAUUAGCAUGGAAUAAUAGAAUAGGACGUGCGGUUCUAUUUUGUUGGUUUCUAGGACCGCCGUAAUGAUUAAUAGGGAUAGUCGGGGGC
rnacentral:rRNA from 1 species